rnacentral:misc_RNA from 1 species
CUUAGUUCAAUCACCUUUUUGGCAAGAAUUGGCAAAAAUGCUCCUUGAAGAUCACCCAUCCCAUCUCCCUUUACACCAAGUAACCUGCCUGUUCGAACAACCCUUCUAAUGAGGCGACGUACCACAUACCCUCUACCAAUAUUUGAUGGGUUGACACCAUCAGAUAUCAGAUAAACAACUGCACGCAUAUGAUCUCCUAUUAUUUUAAGCUUUGUUUUUGUAGAGUCACCUGCAAGAGCAUAUGAGACAUUGGCCAAUUCUGCAGCCUUCUCUAGGAUGGGAAAUAUUAAGUCUGUUUCAUAAUUAUUGGGGACCUUCUGCAGAAUCCUGGCCAUACGCUCUAAACCAAGUCCAGUAUCUAUAUUCUUUUGCUUCAAAGGCUCAAGGGAACCAUCAUCCUUCUUAUUGUAUUGCAUAAAAACAAGGUUGUAGAACUCUAUAAAUCUUGUAUCAUCUCCAAGAUCAACAUCAGAAGUGCCCCUCUCGGGAUGGAAAUCGUAAUAAAGUUCAGAGCAGGGACCACAGGGACCGGUAACUCCACUUGUCCAGAAGUUAUCAUCUUCUCCAAGUCUUUUUAUCCGCUCUUUAGGAAUACCUAGCUCAUCAUGCCAUAGUGCAAAAGUUUCAUCAUCAUCUUCG